UUUUCAUUGUAAAAUUAAUUAGUUUGAUUCUGACUAAAAAUUUCUGUUACAUUGAUUUCAUAUAUAAGUAUUAUUUAGAAAUGUCAUUGAGUAGUGUUGAAUAUUAAAAUAUUAAAGUAAUUUACGGUUAGUUAAAUGUGAUAAGCUUGAUUAAAGACGUGCCAGCAGUCGCGGUUAGACGAUGAAGCUAAAUGAAAUUUUUUAAUUUUAUAAUUAAGUUGUGUUAUAAAUUGUGUUAUAGUAAGAUUAAAUCAAGGUGGAAUUUUUUUAAUUUUUAUAGUAUAAUAUUAAUGGAAUUGAAGUUAUGAAUAUAUUACAUAAACCAGGAUUAGAUACCCUGUUAUUUUUAUAGUAAAGUUAUUAUUUGAGUAGUAGUAGUGGUUCUUGAAACUUAAAGAAUUUGGCGGUAUAUUAACCUAUUUAGAGGAACCUGUCCUGUAAUCGAUAGUCCACGUAAAUUUGACCUAGAUUUGAAAUUCAGCUUGUAUAUCGCUGUCGUAAGAUUAUUUUAUGAGAAAUUUUUCAGUAAUAAAUUUUUAUUUAUGUCAAGUCAAGGUGCAGUAUAUGUCUAGGGUUGAGAUGGGUUACAAUAUAUGAAUGUAAACGAAUAUAGAUUUGUAAAAUUUAUUGAAGGUGGAUUUAAUUGUAAUAUGGAAUUAUUUAUUUUAUAUGGAAAAGUACUAAUAUAUGCACACAUCGCCCGUCACUCUCAUUAUAAUUGAGAAAAGUCGUAACAAAGUAGGUGUAUUGGAAAAUGUGCCUGG
rnacentral:ncRNA from 1 species